rnacentral:rRNA from 1 species
UGGGGAAUAUUGCACAAUGGGCGCAAGCCUGAUGCAGCCAUGCCGCGUGUGUGAAGAAGGCCUUCGGGUUGUAAAGCACUUUCAGCGAGGAGGAAGGCAGUCGUGUUAAUAGCACGAUUGAUUGACGUUACUCGCAGAAGAAGCACCGGCUAACUCCGUGCCAGCAGCCGCGGUAAUACGGAGGGUGCAAGCGUUAAUCGGAAUUACUGGGCGUAAAGCGCACGCAGGCGGUGUGUUAAGUCAGAUGUGAAAUCCCCGCGCUUAACGUGGGAACUGCAUUUGAAACUGGCAAGCUAGAGUCUUGUAGAGGGGGGUAGAAUUCCAGGUGUAGCGGUGAAAUGCGUAGAGAUCUGGAGGAAUACCGGUGGCGAAGGCGGCCCCCUGGACAAAGACUGACGCUCAGGUGCGAAAGCGUGGGGAGCAAACA